rnacentral:lncRNA from 1 species
GAGAGUGGAGGGUGAAAAUCUUGUAUGAUUCAUAAUAACUGGGCUUUGAGUGAGUUAGUGUGGGCCCAGUGGGUGGAGAAAGAGGGGAAAAAGAAUGAAUCUAGAAGCUACAAAGUAGAGCUAGAGGUGCCCUUGACUUGAUGGGCCGAUCGCCAACUGCAACCCACCAAACUCUCAAGCUCUUGUCAAGACCACCACUGUACAAAACAAACCAUCCAUUACCCCCACGUGAGGAGCAUGUGCC